UAACAUAAGAGUUUGAUCCUGGCUCAGGAUGAACGCUGGCGGCGUGCUUAACACAUGCAAGUCGAACGAAGAUAUUUAAAAUGAGAGCUUCGGCAGGAUUUUUAUCUAUCUUAGUGGCGGACGGGUGAGUAACGUGUGGGCAACCUGCCCUGUACUGGGGAAUAAUCAUUGGAAACGAUGACUAAUACCGCAUGUGGUCCUCGGAA
rnacentral:rRNA from 1 species